GGUACCCUAGCUCAGUUGGUAGAGCAACGGACUGAAAAUCCGUAGGUCGUUGGUUCAACUCCAACGGGUACCA
rnacentral:tRNA from 1 species